rnacentral:rRNA from 1 species
UACGAAGGGUGCAAGCGUUACUCGGAAUUACUGGGCGUAAAGCGUGCGUAGGCGGUUUGUUAAGUCCGUUGUGAAAGCCCUGGGCUCGACCUGGGAAUUGCAGUGGAUACUGGCGAGCUAGAGUGCGGUAGAGGAUGGUGGAAUUCCCGGUGUAGCGGUGAAAUGCGUAGAGAUCGGGAGGAAGGCCGGUGGCGAAGGCGGCGCUCUGGAACGUUUCUGACACUGAGGAACGAAAGCCAGGGGAGCAAACGGG